rnacentral:rRNA from 1 species
ACGAACGCUGGCGGCGUGCUUAACACAUGCAAGUCGAACGAGAAGAGAUGAGAAGCUUGCUUCUUAUUGAUUCGAGUGGCAAACGGGUGAGUAACGCGUAAGCAACCUGCCCUUCAGAUGGGGACAACAGCUGGAAACGGCUGCUAAUACCGAAUACGUUCUCUUUAUCGCAUGGUAGAGGGAAGAAAGGGAGGCUCUUCGGAGCUUUCGCUGGAGGAGGGGCUUGCGUCUGAUUAGCUAGUUGGAGGGGUAACGGCCCACCAAGGCGACGAUCAGUAGCCGGUCUGAGAGGAUGAACGGCCACAUUGGGACUGAGACACGGCCCAGACUCCUACGGGAGGCAGCAGUGGGGAAUCUUCCGCAAUGGACGAAAGUCUGACGGAGCAACGCCGCGUGAACGAUGACGGCCUUCGGGUUGUAAAGUUCUGUUAUACGGGACGAAUGGCGUAGCGGUCAAUACCCGUUACGAGUGACGGUACCGUAAGAGAAAGCCACGGCUAACUACGUG